GAUGAACGCUGGCGGCGUGCUUAACACAUGCAAGUCGAACGGAAAGGCCCAAGCUUGCUUGGGUACUCGAGUGGCGAACGGGUGAGUAACACGUGGGUGAUCUGCCCUGCACUUCGGGAUAAGCCUGGGAAACUGGGUCUAAUACCGGAUAGGACCACAGUUUGGAUGGUGUGGUGGAAAGUUUUUCGGUGUGGGAUGAGCUCGCGGCCUAUCAGCUUGUUGGUGGGGUAAUGGCCUACCAAGGCCGCGACGGGUAGGCGGGCCUGGAGGGGGUACGGGCAAAUUGGGGAUGAGGAAAGGCCCAGACUCCUACGGGGGGGCGGAGUGGGGAAUAUUGGAAAAAGGGGGCCAGCCUGGAGCAGGGACGCCGCGUGGGGGAUGACGGCCUUUGGGGUGGAAACUCCUUUCGCUAGGGACGAAGCGGUUUUGUGACGGUACCUGGAGAAGAAGCACCGGCUAACUACGUG
rnacentral:rRNA from 1 species